rnacentral:rRNA from 1 species
GCGGCGUGCUUAACACAUAGCAAGUCGAACGAUGAUUCCCAGCUUGCUGGGGGAUUAGUGGCGAACGGGUGAGUAACACGUGAGUAACCUGCCCUUGACUCUGGGAUAAGCCUGGGAAACUGGGUCUAAUACCGGAUAUGACUCCUCAUCGCAUGGUGGGGGGUGGAAAGCUUUUGUGGUUUUGGAUGGACUCGCGGCCUAUCAGCUUGUUGGUGGGGUAAUGGCCUACCAAGGCGACGACGGGUAGCCGGCCUGAGAGGGUGACCGGCCACACUGGGACUGAGACACGGCCCAGACUCCUACGGGAGGCAGCAGUGGGGAAUAUUGCACAAUGGGCGCAAGCCUGAUGCAGCGACGCCGCGUGAGGGAUGACGGCCUUCGGGUUGUAAACCCUCUUUCAGUAGGGAAGAAGCGUAAGUGACGGUACCUGCAGAAGAAGCGCCGGCUAAACUACGUGCCAGCAGCCGCGGUAAUACGUAGGGCGCAAGCGUUAUCCGGGAAUUAUUGGGCCGUAAAGAGCUCCGUAGGCGGUUUUGUCCCCGUUCUGCUGUGAAA